ACUGAUUGAUUGAUUAUUUGCUCCAUUAUCUUUCCAGGUACCAAAAUUAAGCUGACUGGUUCAUAAUUCCCUGGGUUGUCCUUAUUCCCAUUUUUAUAGACCAGUACUAUGUUUGCCUUUUUCAGGUCCUCUGGGAUCUCUCCUGUCCUCCAUGAAUUCUCAAAGAGAAUCGUGUAUGGCUCAGAGAUCUCUUCAGCCAGUUCCUUAAGUAUUCUAGGACAUAUUUCAUCAGGACCUGCUGACCUGAAGACCUAUGAACUGGCUAAACUACACAAAAUGCAAGACAUGAAAGGGUUAACACAGCAAUUUAAAAAGACAUCCUGCUGUCCUACAUUUAAUAGAUAGACACACAUACCAUUGGAGCUUAGAAAUUCCACAGAGGAAAUGGACCAGCACCUAAAGAGGUGUGGAUGUUCUGCAUGAGGCCCAGAAAAUAAGUGACACUUCAAGAAGAUGGUAGCAACCGCCUGUUGUCAGUUAUUGUGACUUUAUCUAGAUUCAGAAGGCUCAGGGAAACAGUGGAGCUCAUCGGCAGGAAGAGAAAGAAGUGGAAUGUUAAGUUAUUGAGAAGUAUAUGCCAUUCAAGAUCAGAAAAGUUUGUUUUUA